rnacentral:lncRNA from 1 species
UUAGAAGCCACCAACAAUGAAGCAAUAGCUUUCGGCUUCCUCUGAAGUUUGAGCAAUGGAUGAUGCACUUGCUAAUUGGUAGAGGAGGCUGUAUGCUGGGCUGAAAAAGCUCCUCCAGCAAAAUCUGCUAAGAACAAAAUGCAGAGGCAGAGGCUAGGAAGAAAGCAGAAGACCUUGCUUUGAAUUUGGCCCAUGGAUAGAGUUCCAGAUGUUAGAUGAUACUCAGUCGCCUUCACCUGAUCCCAGUGAGGAACAAGACCCAAUCUACUUCAAUCUGGAGGAGAUGAAGCAACCAGCAACAAUGCCCUGUAGUCCUCGCAGCCCUCCAUUACAGGUGCUUGAAACUUGGGAACGACAUGUAGAUUCUGCUUCCCUACGCAGCUAUUACUACAAGCCAACAACGGGUGAGAAGUCAUGGAAGCCACCACGGAGGAGCCAAGAGAUGGAUCACGUCCCCCUAGCCCCAGGAGACCUUGGUGUGGAUGAAAUCCUGGACAGGGGAGAAGGCAGAGCAAGGGCUGAGCAGCCUGGCACCCGAGGUCUCGGGAAUAGAGACAAGAAGCUUGGCUACACGAAAUCCAUGGUGCUGCCGGAGUCACGAGGAUUCAAAGGGACCCAUCGACGGAACCUUUCUCAACACAGUUGUGAGGCUUGGCUAGGGGAAUAUCCUGUAUCAGCACCUACCAAUGGGUCCCCCUCUGACAACCCUGACCUGCUGCAUAUGGUGGAGAAAGUUGGGCAGCUGAACAAAACCAAGAUUGCAGAAGGAGGCCGGAAACUCAGGUAAUCAGCUGGACUCCUUCAUGGUAAGAA